AUUGAACGCUGGCGGAAUGCUUUACACAUGCAAGUCGAGCGGCAGCGCGGGGCAACCUGGCGGCGAGCGGCGAACGGGUGAGUAAUACAUCGGAACGUGCCCAGACGUGGGGGAUAGCCCGGCGAAAGCCGGAUUAAUACCGCAUGAGAUCUGAGGAUGAAAGCAGGGGACCUUCGGGCCUUGCGCGUUUGGAGCGGCCGAUGGCAGAUUAGGUAGUUGGUGAGGUAAAGGCUUACCAAGCCUGCGAUCUGUAGCUGGUCUGAGAGGAUGAUCAGCCACACUGGGACUGAGACACGGCCCAGACUCCUACGGGAGGCAGCAGUGGGGAAUUUUGGACAAUGGGCGCAAGCCUGAUCCAGCCAUUCCGCGUGCAGGAUGAAGGCCCUCGGGUUGUAAACUGCUUUUGUACAGAACGAAAAAGGCCCGGCUAAU
rnacentral:rRNA from 1 species